UACGUAGGGGGCAAGCGUUGUCCGGAAUUAUUGGGCGUAAAGAGCUCGUAGGCGGUGUGUCGCGUCGGCCGUGAAAACCUGCAGCUUAACUGUGGGCUUGCGGUCGAUACGGGCAUCACUGGAGUUCGGCAGGGGAGACUGGAAUUCCUGGUGUAGCGGUGGAAUGCGCAGAUAUCAGGAGGAACACCGGUGGCGAAGGCGGGUCUCUGGGCCAUUACUGACGCUGAGGAGCGAAAGCGUGGGGAGCGAACAGG
rnacentral:rRNA from 1 species